rnacentral:rRNA from 1 species
CACGUAGGGCGCAAGCGUUGUCCGGAAUUAUUGGGCGUAAAGAGCUCGUAGGCGGUCUGUUGCGUCCGCUGUGAAAACUCGGGGCUUAACCCCGAGCCUGCAGUGGAUACGGGCAGACUAGAGGUAUGCAGGGGAGAACGGAAUUCCUGGUGUAGCGGUGAAAUGCGCAGAUAUCAGGAGGAACACCGGUGGCGAAGGCGGUUCUCUGGGCAUUACCUGACGCUGAGGAGCGAAAGUGUGGGGAGCGAACAGG